rnacentral:tRNA from 1 species
GCAUGUAUGGCUGAGUGGUCAAAAGCAAUGGACUCAUAAUCCAUCUCCAAUAGGAUUCACAGGUUCAAACCCUGUUACAUGCA